AGCGAACGCUGGCGGCGUGCUUAACACAUGCAAGUCGAACGUGAAAUGUAGCAAUACAGAGUAAAGUGGCGUACGGGUGAGUAACACGUGGGUAAUCUACCAAAGUGUCUGGAAUAACCGAUCGAAAGGUUGGCUAAUACUGGAUAGUUCAAGCUUGUUAUAAUGGCAAGAUUGGGAAAGGGGAGCUGGCAACAGCCUUCGCAUUUUGAUGAGCUCGCGUCUGAUUAGUUAGUUGGUAAGGUAAUGGCUUACCAAGACGAAGAUCAGUAGCUGGUCUGAGAGGAUGAUCAGCCACACUGGAACUGAAACACGGUCCAGACUCCUACGGGAGGCAGCAGUGGGGAAUCUUGCGCAAUGGACGAAAGUCUGACGCAGCCACGCCGCGUGAGUGAAGAAGGCC
rnacentral:rRNA from 1 species